GAAUUGAUCUGGUCAGGACGAACGCUGGCGGCGUGCCUAACACAUGCAAGUCGAGCGAGGAGAUCCUCGGGAUGAUCCUAGCGGCGGACGGGUGAGUAACACGUGGGCAACCUGCCUCAUAGAGAGGAAUAGCCUUCCGAAAGGGAGAUUAAUACCUCAUAACAUUGCAGUUUCGCAUGGAACAGCAAUUAAAGGAGUAAUCCGCUAUGAGAUGGGCCCGCGGCGCAUUAGCUAGUUGGUGAGGUAACGGCUCACCAAGGCGACGAUGCGUAGCCGACCUGAGAGGGUGAUCGGCCACAUUGGGACUGAGACACGGCCCAGACGUCCUACGGGAGGCAGCAGUGGGGAAUAUUGCACAAUGGGGGGAAACCCUGAUGGCCAGCAACGCCGCGUGAGUGAUGACGGCCUUCGGGUUGUAAAGCUCUGUCUUCAGGGACGAUAAUGACGGUACCUGAGGAGGAAGCCACGGCUAACUACGUGCCAGCCGCGGC
rnacentral:rRNA from 1 species